rnacentral:rRNA from 1 species
UGGGGAAUAUUGCACAAUGGGCGCAAGCCUGAUGCAGCCAUGCCGCGUGUAUGAAGAAGGCCUUCGGGUUGUAAAGUACUUUCAGCGGGGAGGAAGGUGUUGAGGUUAAUAACCUCAGCAAUUGACGUUACCCGCAGAAGAAGCACCGGCUAACUCCGUGCCAGCAGCCGCGGUAAUACGGAGGGUGCAAGUGUUAAUCGGAAUUACUGGGCGUAAAGCGCACGCAGGCGGUCUGUCAAGUCGGAUGUGAAAUCCCCGGGCUCAACCUGGGAACUGCAUUCGAAACUGGCAGGCUAGAGUCUUGUAGAGGGGGGUAGAAUUCCAGGUGUAGCGGUGAAAUGCGUAGAGAUCUGGAGGAAUACCGGUGGCGAAGGCGGCCCCCUGGACAAAGACUGACGCUCAGGUGCGAAAGCGUGGGGAGCAAACA